rnacentral:rRNA from 1 species
UACGAAGGGGGCUAGCGUUGUUCGGAAUUACUGGGCGUAAAGCGCACGUAGGCGGAUCGAUCAGUCAGGGGUGAAAUCCCGCAGCUCAACUGCGGAACUGCCUUUGAUACUGUCGGUCUAGAGUAUGGAAGAGGUGAGUGGAAUUCCGAGUGUAGAGGUGAAAUUCGUAGAUAUCGGAGGAACACCAGUGGCGAAGGCGGCUCACUGGACCGGUACUGACGCUGAUGCGCGAAAGCG